CCGGUGACCAAGCGCCGCCCGCCACCGCCCAGAUCCACCCCGCGCGCGCGCGCCCCCGCACUUCCGCAACACCCACCUGUCGUCACUUCCUACCAUAUGAGAGCUAGGUUUGUCCGCCCCCAUCCAGCGGGUAGCUCAUUUCCGGCGAGAGUGCUAUUGAUUGGCGGCUAAAUCAGGGGCGUAAAUGUCAUAGAGAGCACACCCUGCGGCUAGAAAGUCUCUACCCGCUUUUGCUCCGAGGGGAAGUAGAGCUGAGAUUUAGUUUUCUCCCCGCCUAGCAGCCAUCUUGGAGCCGGAGUGGCGGAGUUUAGGCCGUUGUGUAGGUAGAAAGAGACCAGGAAAGCCCUCUGGCAACUGAGAGCCCCGCUUCUGGUCAUGCCACUGGAGGAGCUACAGGGAGGCGAGGAAAGGAGCAGUAAUAUGGAGCUAUAAAGCAGAGUCUCAAGGCUUUGCUUCGUUCCUUGAUCCACUGCAUUUACACUGGCAGCUGAUUGGCACUGUGUAUACAUGGUACACAAGUUACCUGUUUUCAACAGAAUAUUGCGCUUUGUACAUGUUCCUCUGUUUUUCGUAAAAAAUAGUGCCUCCCCCACAAGGAAAUACAUACACAUACAGCAAAGUGUAUGUUGAUAAACAGAUACAGUUCCCUAUCUGUUUAUCAUCAGGUUUUCAGUUCCUGGUGUGGUGACCAGUUGUAUAAGGGUGCCUUAUCCUUUGAUGCAUGAUAAUAAACUCAACACAGUACUAAAUAGAACCAAAAUGAAGCAUAAAUAUUAUUUGUGGGAAUCUCAAAAGUGAUACUGCUUCAAAGUAACCCAGGCUCUAUGAUAAACAUACAAUUUUUAAGAGCCAACUUCUUGUAUUUAUGGAUCUCUAUACAUAUACAGUGAACUUGUAGAGAAAGAUUUUUGUAUAAAACCAGAUUAAAUAAUCUUAGUUUAAAAUCCUGGACAUCAAGUGUACAAAGAUAUACUACUUACAGUUGCAUCUUGUAAACAGGACCACUUAAAUCAGUGAGCAUUCUCAUACCAAAUUGAUAUAUUUGUACAAUGAACUAUUGUGAAAAGCAUGUAAUAAUAGCCUCCAUUUAUGAAAUUCAAGUUCUAGGCAGGGUAUUUUUUUUAACCAGUUGGGAAUACAGAGUAGAACCCACCCCACCCAGAGAACUAUAUCAGGGAAUUAACUGAAACAAGGGCAUAUGAUUCAGAGCUCACAAAAAGCCUUAGCUAUUUCUUAAGUAUAAUGUGUGCAUUCUUCAGUGGUAAUACUACCUCUAACUUGUAUGAAAAUAAAGACAUUCACAUCACUACCAUACAUACCAUGUCAUACCUUUCAAGCCUAUUAUGUUAACAUAUCUACCAUAGUUACAUGCCUUAAGUAGAGCCAAUAUGAGGUCCUCACAACUGAGAAAUAUUUACCCAGUAUUUACUGUCAUGAGAUAUUUAUGGAGAUGAAUUAUCUAGGAGCAAGCAACAGCUGACAACAUCCAACAAGUAUCCAUGCUUAUUCAGCUGUAAUAUAAAGCUAUUACUUGAAACAGACAGUCUAGGAUCUUAAAUGGUAUCUUGCUAUACCUAGUUUUUUCAAACUGUGGUCUCCAUUUCAGCAUGAGGAAGCUGUGGUGCUAUGCAAAAAAUUAAAUUAUUUUGAAUCUUCAAAACAGAGGAUUUUCUUCUGUGUUACAAGCCACGUUAGGGCUGGUAUGUAGGACUUAAACCUUUGGGUAGCACUGGCAACCUGGCCUCAUGAAUGGUGUCAAGGGUCUCUUCUCUCCCCAAACACAAGGGACAAAACACACUUCACCACUGCCACACUAUUUUGAUAUAUAAGCCAUCGCCACAUCUUAUAACACCCAGAAAUAGCUUUAACCCCCGUAAAUCGGUAGUUGUGAUAACAGGCUAUACUGUAAUGAAUGCCACCAAACAGAUUUACUUUGAAAUAAGAAUUCAAUAGGGAACUGCAAGUUGAAAGACUAAAUCUUUACUUGGCAUGUUGGAGUCACUGAGUUUUCACAGCAACUGUUUUACAGUAAAAAUACUGAGGUGGGACCAGCACUGAACUUUGGAAUCAAGUGUUAAAUACAAAAACGACUUUAACAAGAAAUUCACUCCCUCUCCAUGACCACGAAGGGUGGAGCUAUUUCAAUGGAGAACCCCACCAUCACCACCACCUCCCUGCAAAAGCAGUCACACUGUUUGGCUUUAGCAUAGACAAAAGAGGAGAGUCAGCACACAGGAGAUGGGGAUGUACAGUUUACAAGCCCCUACUGGGGCAGAGUGGAGGAGAGAGACCUGAGAGAGCAGAAUCCCUCCCAUGGGAAGGGCAAUCAGCACCGACUCUUUCACUGUGGGAUGGCAGGCAGAUACCUGCUCCCCCACCCAUCUUAGCUCCUGCAGCCUCAAGGCUAAGCUCCAGCUGCAACAGGAAGCAGACAUUUACAGCUCUAGACACAUUUCUAUUUUAUUACUGCCAAGGUGAAAAAGCCACCUUGGCCCAACAAGCAACCAGUAAAAUUUUUCCCAAAAAUAACUCAGUACAAAACAGAUCUGUUUCAGAAUUAAAAAAAAAAGAAAAAGAAAGAAA